UGGUUUGGUGACUCGAUUUAUUCUUGUUAUUUAAUUCAUAUAUCAAUGGAUCUUAUUUGGGGCCUGGUCCAUAUUUAACACUCGUGUUCAGUCCAAUGACCAAUAAUAUUUUUUCAUUAAUAACAAUGUAACAAGAAUGAUACACAAAACAUUCUUUGAAUAAGUUCGCUAUGAAGAAGGGAACUUAUCCGGUCCUAGAUCAUCAGUUCAUACAAACCUCCAUAGAGUUCAACAUCUUAAACAAGAAUAUCCUGAUCUGAAGAAUGUGGAGGCUUUAGUCCCUUGGAUACUUGGGAGGCUGUGGAAGAACAGAAACGAGCUGGUGCUUAAAGGGAGGGAAUUUGGAACCAAUGAGGUAUUAGUAAGGACACAAGAAGAUGCAGAUGAGUGGAUUAGAAGGAAAGAGGCUCAGAAUGUAAGGAAAGCACCAACCACAACACCGUCGGGACAGACGAGAAACAUGGGAAGCUCCACCACAAUCUUGGGUUAAGUGCAACUUUGAUGGGGCAUGGCCAACAGAAGGAUUAAAAUGUGGCUUAGGGUGGGUGCUUCGCGAUCAUACAGGGAAGGUGUUAUGGUUAGGUGCAAGAGCUGUGGUAAAAGUAAGAAGCGUGCUGGAAGUAGAAGUGGAGGCUCUUAGAUGGGCUGUGCUGUCAUUAUCCCGAUUCAAUUAUAGGAAGAUCAUUUUUGAGGUGGAUUCUCAGCAACUUGUGUCUUUGGUUACAUGAAAGUUAUGCUUGUCAAGUCUCAAUCCAAUUAUCCAAGACAUAAAGUAUCUACUUAGCAAGUUUGAGGAUUUUAUGCUUGUGCAUACAAGCCGAGAAGGAAAUGGAGUGGCAGAUAGAAUAGCUAAGGAAUCUCUUUCUUUUGAGAAUUAUGAUCUAAAGUUGUAUUCUAUUGUACCAAUUUGGGUUAAAAGCUCUGUUGAGCUAGACUGUGUAUCCAUAAAUGGGUGAAUGGAAAGUUUGUUGUUGAGCCA
rnacentral:sRNA from 1 species